ACGGGUGAGUAACACGUGAGUAACCUGCCCUUGACUCUGGGAUAAGCCUGGGAAACUGGGUCUAAUACCGGAUAUGACCUUCCAUAGCAUGGUGGUUGGUGGAAAGCUUUUGUGGUUUUGGAUGGACUCGCGGCCUAUCAGCUUGUUGGUGGGGUAAUGGCCUACCAAGGCGACGACGGGUAGCCGGCCUGAGAGGGUGACCGGCCACACUGGGACUGAGACACGGCCCAGACUCCUACGGGAGGCAGCAGUGGGGAAUAUUGCACAAUGGGCGGAAGCCUGAUGCAGCGACGCCGCGUGAGGGAUGACGGCCUUCGGGUUGUAAACCUCUUUCAGUAGGGAAGAAGCGUAAGUGACGGUACCUGCAGAAGAAGCGCCGGCUAACUACGUGCCAGCAGCCGCGGUAAUACGUAGGGCGCAAGCGUUAUCCGGAAUUAUUGGGCGUAAAGAGCUCGUAGGCGGUUUGUCGCGUCUGCCGUGAAAGUCCGGGGCUCAACUCCGGAUCUGCGGUGGGUACGGGCAGACUAGAGUGAUGUAGGGGAGACUGGAAUUCCUGGUGUAGCGGUGAAAUGCGCAGA
rnacentral:rRNA from 1 species